UACGUAGGGUGCGAGCGUUUGUCCGGAAUUACUGGGCGUAAAGAGCUCGUAGGUGGUUUUGUCGCGUUGUCCGUGAAAACUCACAACUCAAUUGUGGGCGUGCGGGCGAUACGGGCAGACUGGAGUACUGCAGGGGGAGACUGGAAUUCCUGGUGUAGCGGUGGAAUGCGCAGAUAUCAGGAGGAACACCGGUGGCGAAGGCGGGUCUCUGGGCAGUAACUGACGCUGAGGAGCGAAAGCGUGGGGAGCGAACAGG
rnacentral:rRNA from 1 species